GGGCGCAUAGCUCAGGUGGCUAGAGUGUUUGCUUGACAUGCAAAAGGUCGGAGGUUCAAGCCCUCUUGCGCCCACCA
rnacentral:tRNA from 1 species